ACGGAGGAUGCAAGCGUUAUCCGGAUUCAUUGGGUUUAAAGGGUGCGCAGGCGGAUUAAUAAGUCAGUGGUGAAAUCCUACGGCUCAACUGUAGAAAUGCCAUUGAUACUGUUAGUCUUGAGUAUUGUUGAGGUAGGCGGAAUGCGUCAUGUAGCGGUGAAAUGCGUAGAUAUGAGGCAGAACACCGAUCGCGAAGGCAGCUUACCGAACUAUAACUGACGCUCAGGCACGAAAGCGUGGGGAGCAAACAG
rnacentral:rRNA from 1 species